CCUACGGGAGGCAGCAGUGGGGAAUAUUGGACAAUGGGGGGAACCCUGAUCCAGCCAUGCCGCGUGUGUGAAGAAGGCCCUCGGGUUGUAAAGCACUUUCAGUGAGGAAGAACGCCUGGUGGUUAAUACCCAUCAGGAAAGACAUCACUCACAGAAGAAGCACCGGCUAACUCCGUGCCAGCAGCCGCGGUAAUACGGAGGGUGCGAGCGUUAAUCGGAAUUACUGGGCGUAAAGCGCGCGUAGGUGGCUUGAUAAGCCGGUUGUGAAAGCCCCGGGCUCAACCUGGGAACGGCAUCCGGAACUGUCAAGCUAGAGUGCAGGAGAGGAAGGUAGAAUUCCCGGUGUAGCGGUGAAAUGCGUAGAGAUCGGGAGGAAUACCAGUGGUGAAGGCGGCCUUCUGGACUGACACUGACACUGAGGUGCGAAAGCGUGGGUAGCAAACAGGAUUAGAUACCCUAGUAGUC
rnacentral:rRNA from 1 species